GCGAGCAGGAUGGGCGCAGGCCGCGGCGGCGACCAGGACGGGCCCGGCCUCGCAGUAACAUGGGAGCGGAGCCAGGCCUCACCCACGAGACGGAACAUGGCCGCAGCUGAGCCUCGCCGUCGCGCGGUAGUGGAUGGGCAUCGGAGCACGGUGGCCCCCUGCCGGUGGCGUAGAGCAGGGGCGGGGAGGCGGGUGGUAUCUUGCUUGGCCUUUGCCCUUCAUGUCGUCGUGUGCAGCAAACCUACCAUCUGUGCUUGGGUUGCAUGGCAUCAGGCGCCGCCGCCAAACGUAGGGCGGGUGCUUGGUUGUGAUGGCGGGAGGCGCCACAGCCAGUAAUUGAUGCACGGCCGCCUCCCCGCUGCGCCCUUUGCCAUGCUGGCCGACACAUGGGUCGAGGCGUUGUUACAGCCGGCAACUCCACACGCUCGUGCUGCCGACCGCCGCUUGCCUGCCGCCGGCGCCGGCAUGCCCAACAUGAAGGGUUGAUGAGUGGCACUGUUGCCUAUCUCCAAUGUGCUGCUGCCUGCAGGUUGAGCUGCGAAGUCUGUUGCUGUGCGUCGACCUCAACCACUGGACCACGACGGCAGAGUGCCGACAACGUCAUCGACUGUAUGAGGAGCACUUAGGAAUCUGAUGGAGUUGCCUUUCUUUCCCAACCCGAUCAACUGUAUGACUCUGGGCCUUUUGUUCUGUGGUAAUAUUUCAGAAAAAUGGCAUGCUAUAUUACAUCUGUAACUCUGCAAGGUCUGUAAGGAUUGUUUGUCUGCAUGCAAUUUUAUGAUUAUUACCAAUGCACUUCCGUGGUAAAAGAAAUACAUGUCAUAUUGAAAAGCUAUUGUCAGUUAAACUAUUUGUUCAAGGUUAGAAGUUAUAAAAGAAAUGCCAUGUUUGCCCCAUAUAGAGUUCUGACUACUGCAUAUUGCAGUUAUUUCCAUAUCGUUUUAUCAUAUGCUCAUAGAAGCUAAAAUAUAGUUGGCAGUAGACAAAAUGGAUUGCUCACCCAUGGCCUGAAAGUAUUGCUAGGACAUGCGUGCCUUGGUUCUUUGCGUGUUUGCUCCGUAUUUCUCCUUUCCUUUUCCCUCAUCUUUUCUUCCCUGUGAGCAGUUCCUGUUCUGUUCUAUGAGUUCCUGUUCGGUGCCUACUUCCUUCUGGUUGAAGUAUUGAUCAUGUCUGUUUGUGUAGGCCCGCUUGGAUAGGACUUCUAUUCUUUGAUUGAAGUUGAGAUGGCUCAAUCUUUUUCACUGAAAAAACAAAUAUCAAUUCUAUAAAAAUAUAGCUUUUUAACAUCCAGGCUGUGCAGAUUUGAUGAGCUUGAAGGUGACAACGACCUGGCCGCUGUUGGUGGAGCAGAAGGCGUGGUAGACAGACUGAAGCCUUCGUCGCUGACCAUGAGCGCGUUCCUGAAGCUUUCAACGCCGCUAACGAGUUUCUACAGCCGAACACUCUCGGCCAUGCCACGCCCCACUGCUCCGGAAGUCUUAUCCUCUUUGGGCCGUCGAAUGUCUGCACCGGAGAAUUGGCGCUUCUCGGCCUUUCUCUUCCCGCUAAUGGUAAUCAUAGAUACAUUUCCUGCCAAGUUUCCACCUCCUUUUUAGUUGAUUUCAUUGAUCCUUGCAUUUGCAUCUGUCUCAUGACUGAUUAUUGUUUACUUCCAUUGGUACUUGGUUUGUUCAUUACAACUGCAAAGAAAUUGGAAAAGCAUCAGCAUGUGCUACCAGUAGCACAUCUUAAAUUGGUACAUUCUUUCCAAACUUUUCAUGGCGUGCUCAGAAAAAUGCUACUGCAUAUUUUUAUUUUUCCAGAAAUUGGCUUCUAACUGAAGGAUCAGGCCUGCUGCUCACUGCCUGAGUAAUGAAUUUUUUUCAUAUACUUCUCAUAAAAUUUAUUUAGUGGAUGUUGCACUUGAUUCAUGGUUAAAUUAGUUCCCUUGAUGGCUAUACGUGUUGCCUAGAGCGAAAGCUCUUGCAAUACUGGCAAAGGUUCGCCUCCCAGUGUGACGACAGCCUCAACACUCUACUGUCAGUCAGCGCCGGACCAACCCACUACUACAUCAAAAUUUCUCGCUCUUCUCUUGGAGUCAGAAGCUGAAUUGUUUGGGGGUUUUGGUUUUCUUGGUCAGGUUGGACAGUGCGCAUCCACACCGGGUGACCAGCCAUUUCCUAAGGGAAGUACAGCUAUAGCCUACAGGGAAGGAAGGGGAGAAUCAAGAGAGAGAGAGAGAGAGAGAGAGAGAGAG